rnacentral:rRNA from 1 species
UACAGAGGCCACGAGCGUUAGGCGGAAUCACUGGGCUUAAAGCGUGUGUAGGUGGAUCGGUAAGUACCUUGUGAAAUCCCACGACUCAAUCGUGGAACUGCUUGGUAUACUGCCAGUCUUGAGGCACUCAGGGGCGAGCGGAACAGAUGGUGGAGCGGUGAAAUGCGUAGAUAUCAUCUGGAACGCCAUGGUGAAGACAGCUCGCUGGGGGUGUUCUGACACUGAGACACGAAAGCCAGGGGAGCAAACGGG